AUUGAACGCUUGCGGUAUGCAUAACACAUGCAAGUCGUACGGCAGCACGGGCUAAGGCCUGGUGGCGAGUGGCGAACGGGUGAGUAACGCCCCGGAACGUGCCUUGUAGUGGGGGAUAGACUGGCGAAAGUCAGAGUAAUACCGCAUGAAGCCACGCAGCAUGCGCGGUGAAAGUGGGGGAUUCUAGCCUCACGCUACUGGAUCGGCCGGGGUCUGAUUAG
rnacentral:rRNA from 1 species